UUGGUGUCAUCAUGGGAUAAUCUUCGGGACAAAGGGACCUGGGAAGAGGAGCAGCUGACCCCCAGGGUACCCUGUAGCCAUGGAGUAGUGGUGUAAGGGAUCAGAAUGGAGAGAGAAGUCGAUCCAGAGCUGGGAGAAAGAAGCCUUCUCUGCCUUCCACCACAGCUCUCCCUU